rnacentral:rRNA from 1 species
UGACCGGGGGAUUACAGCUACAUAGCGUAUACUAAAAUUGUUCGCGGGUUAAAAAGCUCGUAGUUGCAUUUGUGCGCCGCGCUGUCGGUGCACCGCUUUCGCGGUGAUACUGACACGUCUGCGGAGCAUAUCGUCGGUGAGCCGCCGGUAAAACGGCGGUUCAAUAUCAAAAUCCUAUCGCGGUGCUCUUCAGUGAGUGUCGAGGUGGGCCGACAAUUUUACUUUGAACAAAUUAGAGUGCUCAAAGCGGGCUCAAAAUGCUGCUUGAAUAUUUCGUGCAUGGAAUAAUAGAAUAUGAUCUCGGUUCUAUUUUGUUGGUUUUCAGAACUCCGAGGUAAUGAUUAAUAGGGAUAACUGGGGGCAUUCGUAUUGCGACGUUAGAGGUGAAAUUCUUGGAUCGUCGCAAGACGAACAUCAGCGAAAGCAUUUGCCAAAGGUGUUUUCAUCAAUCAAGAACGAAAGUUAGAGGUUCGAAGGCGAUUAGAUACCGCCAUAGUUUCUAACGGAA